rnacentral:rRNA from 1 species
UACGUAGGGUGCAAGCGUUGUCCGGAAUUAUUGGGCGUAAAGAGCUCGUAGGCGGUUUGUCACGUCUGCUGUGAAAACUGGAGGCUCAACCUCCAGCUUGCAGUGGGUACGGGCAGACUAGAGUGCGGAAGGGGCAAUCGGAAUUCUUGGUGUAGCGGUGGAAUGCGUAGAGAUCCGGAAGAACACCGGUGGCGAAGGCGGCCUGCUGGGCAGUAGCUGACGCUGAGGAGCGAAAGCGUGGGGAGCGAACAGG